rnacentral:rRNA from 1 species
UAUCACUCUUGGAUGGACCUGCGGUGCAUUAGCUAGUUGGUAGGGUAACGGCCUACCAAGGGCGAUGAUGCAUAGCCCGAGUUGAGAGACUGAUCGGCCACAUUGGGGACUGAGACACGGCCCAAACUCCUACGGGAGGCAGCAGUAGGGAAUCUUCCACAAUGGACGCAAGUCUGAUGGAGCAAACGCCGCGUGAGUGAAGAAGGGUUUCGGCUCGUAAAGCUCUGUUGUUGGUGAAGAAGGACAGGGGUAGUAACUGACCCUUUGUUUGACAGUAAUCAAUUAGAAAGUCACGGGCUAACUACGUGCCAGCAGCCGCGGUAAAU